rnacentral:lncRNA from 1 species
CUCAAAUGUUGAUAAAAUAGAUGAUUGCCUAUAAGAUGAGACUUGAGAAGAGGUAAAAAUGAUUCCUCUUGCCUCUAAAACAUCUCCUUUGCCAAUCUGCCAGGAGCAGCAUUAGAGGUGCUGGGGUUCUAUUUUGCACACUGGUGAACCAGAAGUGACCCAAAUCAUCUGAAGGUCCUUAAUUCCAUGAAUAAAACUAUAUUCAGAAGGUGAUUAUCGUGUAAAGGAGAGGUGCAUUAUCUUUGGGGAACAAGUGACCAUGGAAACAGUGAGUGCAGGAAAUAGUAGAGCUUUGCAUUUGGGUCCUUCAGGAGGCUUUGCAGUGGAAUCACCCUGCAGCUCGGAAAAGUGGGAGCAACGUGCUGUGAUGCCACCUCUUGGCUAAUGAAUGUGGACUGUGAGGUGACAGAGGGAACCCUGAUCAUCUGACACUGACUCUUGGUACAGAACCACUGUGGAAGUCAUCCAGGAGAAAAGCAAACAACUAGUGUGCUGUAUGGUGAAGAUUUUCUGUGUUUAGUGACCGAACUCUUAUUGCCUUUGGAGAAUGAAAUCCACACUUUUUGCUUUUUGGAGUGGUUGACUUGAAUGAUAAUCAACAUGGGGGAGAGAUGGGAUUACUUUCUAAAUGGAGUAAGGGGUAAGCAAGGGUAAGCAUCUUGGACAAAAUGGCGGCAAGUAUGAAAUGACAAAAGCGCUUGUCUCCAGCAUCUGGCUAAGCAGUCUUUUGCCAAGACCCUCACCUUUGGCCUGGAUAGAGGCUCUCUAGCUGGGUCAGAGCAAAGAGCAGCAUCCUGACCAUUCAUUCCAUGGUCUCCUGGCUGACCAAGGGGGGCCAAUUAGGUCCUAUUGUGAUAGAAGUGGGAGGGAAAGUUUCCUCCAUUCCGAUGACCCUUGGAGUGACUCCAUCAGUCUUAAAGGCCAUAGGGGUGGAGGAUGGGGCGCUAUUCUCUACCUCAUUGGGCCAUAGCCAGCCCUGUGUGAGUAAUUGGUUCUGUUCCUUAGCCUGAGGUCCUUCAGAUCUAUGGGAUUGACACUGCCUUCGUGCCUCCCCCAAACAGAAAUUUGCUCAGUUUGUCAUUUCAGAAGAUGGCUGUUUGGGGAUGGGAGGAAGAAAAAUAAAAUAUAAACACUAGUUAUUGGUCCUAUGUCCGUUUUGUUUUAGAAGUAGCAUUUAUAUUGGUAAAGGGUGGCAAAUGUCAGCCCCGUCACCCACCACCCACUUCCCAGUGCCUGCCUUUUUCUCACUGUGGGGUACAAUGA